CCUACGGGAGGCUGCAGUGGGGAAUAUUGGACAAUGGGGGCAACCCUGAUCCAGCCAUGCCGCGUGUGUGAAGAAGGCCCUCGGGUUGUAAAGCACUUUCAGUGAGGAAGAACGCCUGGUGGUUAAUACCCAUCAGGAAAGACAUCACUCACAGAAGAAGCACCGGCUAACUCCGUGCCAGCAGCCGCGGUAAUACGGAGGGUGCGAGCGUUAAUCGGAAUUACUGGGCGUAAAGCGCGCGUAGGUGGCUUGAUAAGCCGGUUGUGAAAGCCCCGGGCUCAACCUGGGAACGGCAUCCGGAACUGUCAAGCUAGAGUGCAGGAGAGGAAGGUAGAAUUCCCGGUGUAGCGGUGAAAUGCGUAGAGAUCGGGAGGAAGACCAGUGGCGAAGGCGGCCUUCUGGACUGACACUGACACUGAGGUGCGAAAGCGUGGGUAGCAAACAGGAUUAGAUACCCCAGUAGUC
rnacentral:rRNA from 1 species